CUCUUUAUAUUUCACUGAUGCAAGUGCAAUUUUAUUGGACUUCUCUUUCAGUCUAUGAAAGGAACUCUCUCAACCAACAUAGAUAAAAAGACAGAAUUAUAUGUAUAUAUAUAUAUAUAUAUAUAUAUAUCUUUUUGUACAAGCACAAAUCAGCAAUGUAUGAACUAAGGGAAAGCAAGAUCCAUGACAAUGAAUAUGUGUGUGUGUGUUUACACACAUCAAUGUUUUAGGUCAAGAAAAGAGCCCAAAAUUCUAAGACUAUUAAAGGAGGAGAAAGGAAAAAUAACUUUUGAAUGAGAGAAAAUCCUUUUGAAAAACUCACCCUAGAAAGAUUGCGAGAGGCUUUAGCAUAAAAUAACACAUGUAUGCUUAUUUACGUGUCAAGUUGAAUAGGUUUUCGCAAAUUGACAUAUACGUGAGAGAUAAUAAAAGUAUUCAUAGUGCUGUGGUUUCUGUUGAUGAAAAUAAACAAUGGAGUGAGUGAUUUUACUUGCUCAAAUCAAAAUCAAGCAAAAGAUAGACAAACGCAUGAAUUGAUUUUGUACCCACCAGAAAUAGUAGUAGGUCACAGGUUUUGUUUAUUCUUAAAAAACAAUGUAUAUAUAUAUAUAUAUAUAUAUAUAAUAAAAGGAUAGAUACGUGCGUGCAUGGAAUAGGUAAAGUUCAGAUACAUUGCACAUGAUUAUAUUUAUUAAUAGCAUAGCUUAUGUAUACUGGAACGAUUUCAAUUUGUUAAAGAUGAAAUUGGUCAGUGCAAGUGUACCAACUUGGAUAAUAUUCCUUUCCUUCCAGCUUUCAAUUCAGAAGCUAAGAGGAAUGAAACAAGAGCUGCAUAUAUAUCUUCCAUGUGAAUCAUAUCUUAACCCAUCAAUUCUAUUUUUCUUUUUCAAGUAUGCAUGUUGUCUGUCAGACGAGGCAGCUUUCAAAGGCUCAACUUGAAAACCUAAAUGCAUACAAUGAACUCAGACAGCUAUGGGGUUGAUGUUGGAUAAAAGAAGAUUGAUAGAUAGAAUUGAGGUUGAUGUAAUGAUAUGGGUUUUUUGAUACAAAUAAUCACUUAAAAUGAGGGCCAUCCUUCCAUGAUUUGGGGUUCCCAGCAUUCUUGGAAUUUGGGGAGCAUCUCUGGG
rnacentral:lncRNA from 1 species